rnacentral:tRNA from 1 species
GCGCCCGUAGCUCAACUGGAUAGAGCACCAGUCUUCGGAACUGGGGGUUGGAGGUUCGAUCCCUUCCGGGCGCG